rnacentral:rRNA from 1 species
AUUGAACGCUGGCGGCAGGCCUAACACAUGCAAGUCGAGCGAGUGGCGGACGGGUGAGUAAUGUCUGGGAAACUGCCCGAUAGAGGGGGAUAACUACUGGAAACGGUAGCUAAUACCGCAUACCAUCGGAUGUGCCCAUAUGGGAUUAGCUAGUGGGUGGGGUAACGGCUCACCUAGGCGACGAUCCCUAGCUGGUCUGAGAGGAUGACCAGCCACACUGGAACUGAGACACGGCCCAGACUCCUACGGGAGGCAGCAGUGGGGAAUAUUGCACAAUGGGCGCAAGCCUGAUGCAGCCAUGCCGCGUGUAUGAAGAAGGCCUUAGGGUUGUAAAGUACUUUCAGCGAGGAGGCGUUACCCGCAGAAGAAGCACCGGCUAACUCCGUGCCAGCAGCCGCGGUAAUUC